ACUUUUCACACAAGCUUCAUUGUGAACACUAUUCUCAUUUCCAACAUGUUUUUCUAACUUAUCAGGUUGACUCCAAUUUGAAAAACCUGCAUUGACAAAUGCAUCACAAACACUUUUACCCUUAACAUAACUUCUGAAAAGAUAACAAGGCAAGCAAAACGCAACAUCUUUGGAAAUGUUAUACUCUAACCAACUUUCAUGUUUUAAGAACCAAGAUUCGUUGAAACGUCUUGAUGGCUUCUUUUUCGCAUUAGAUUUUGUGGAAAGGGAAAGUUCUUAGGUUGGCAGGGACACCUUUGCAUAUAAGCUCUUCGUACUUUAUCUUGAUCAUUUGGAUGAUAACUCAAGAUCAGCUUUCUCAGUGCAGGGUCUGUUUGAAGAUUCAAUAUCGAUAACUCAUUUACAAUAGUGGAAGCUAAUUGUGGACUAGGAACAUGGGCAGAAAGAACUAGUGGACCAUGAAUACCAGAAGAUAGAGGUACUUGAGUACUAGAAAUUGAAGGAACUUGUUUUAGACCCGGUGGAAUAGAAGAUGAAGGAAUAUCAGGUGGAAUUCUGGAUUUGUUUGUUGUUGACGAUAUUGGGAUACAUUCCUGGAAUUAUAUAUGCAAUUUAUGUGUUAG